AGGAUCAUUACCGAGUGCGGGUCCUUUGGGCCCAACCUCCCAUCCGUGUCUAUUAUACCCUGUUGCUUCGGCGGGCCCGCCGCUUGUCGGCCGCCGGGGGGGCGCCUUUGCCCCCCGGGCCCGUGCCCGCCGGAGACCCCAACACGAACACUGUCUGAAAGCGUGCAGUCUGAGUUGAUUGAAUGCAAUCAGUUAAAACUUUCAACAAUGGAUCUCUUGGUUCCGGCAUCGAUGAAGAACGCAGCGAAAUGCGAUAACUAAUGUGAAUUGCAGAAUUCAGUGAAUCAUCGAGUCUUUGAACGCACAUUGCGCCCCCUGGUAUUCCGGGGGGCAUGCCUGUCCGAGCGUCAUUGCUGCCCUCAAGCCCGGCUUGUGUGUUGGGUCGCCGUCCCCCUCUCCGGGGGGACGGGCCCGAAAGGCAGCGGCGGCACCGCGUCCGAUCCUCGAGCGUAUGGGGCUUUGUCACAUGCUCUGUAGGAUUGGCCGGCGCCUGCCGACGUUUUCCAACCAUUUUUUCCAGGUUGACCUCGGAUCAGGUAGGGAUACCCGCUGAACUUAAGCAUAUCAAUAAGCGGAGGAAAAGAAACCAACCGGGAUUGCCUCAGUAACGGCGAGUGAAGCGGCAAGAGCUCAAAUUUGAAAGCUGGCUCCUUCGGAGUCCGCAUUGUAAUUUGCAGAGGAUGCUUUGGGUGCGGCCCCCGUCUAAGUGCCCUGGAACGGGCCGUCAGAGAGGGUGAGAAUCCCGUCU
rnacentral:rRNA from 1 species